rnacentral:rRNA from 1 species
GUGGGGAAUAUUGGACAAUGGGCGAAAGCCUGAUCCAGCCAUGCCGCGUGUGUGAAGAAGGUCUUCGGAUUGUAAAGCACUUUAAGUUGGGAGGAAGGGCAGUAAGUUAAUACCUUGCUGUUUUGACGUUACCGACAGAAUAAGCACCGGCUAACUUCGUGCCAGCAGCCGCGGUAAUACGAAGGGUGCAAGCGUUAAUCGGAAUUACUGGGCGUAAAGCGCGCGUAGGUGGUUCAGCAAGUUGAAGGUGAAAUCCCCGGGCUCAACCUGGGAACUGCAUCCAAAACUACUGAGCUAGAGUACGGUAGAGGGUAGUGGAAUUUCCUGUGUAGCGGUGAAAUGCGUAGAUAUAGGAAGGAACACCAGUGGCGAAGGCGACUACCUGGACUGAUACUGACACUGAGGUGCGAAAGCGUGGGGAGCAAACAGGAUUAGAAACCCGGGUAGUCC